rnacentral:rRNA from 1 species
CCUACGGGGUGCAGCAGUGAGGAAUAUUGGUCAAUGGCCGGAAGGCUGAACCAGCCAUGCCGCGUGAAGGUCAGUGCCCUAUGGGCGUUAAACUUCUUUUGUGCGGGAGCAAUAAUGGUCACGUGUGGCCAGACGAGGGUACCGUACGAAUAAGCAUCGGCUAACUCCGGGCCAGCAGCCGCGGUAAUACGGGGGAUGCAAGCGUUAUCCGGAUUUAUUGGGUUUAAAGGGUGCGUAGGCUGUGAGGUAAGUCAGCGGGGAAAUGCCCCCGCUCAACGGGGUGAAGUGCCAUUGAUACUGGCUUGCUGGAAUGCGGAUGCCGUGGGAGGAAUGUGUGGUGUAGCGGUGAAAUGCAUAGAUAUCACACAGAACACCGAUUGCGAAGGCAUCUCACGAAUCCGCGAUUGACGCUGAUGCACGAAAGCGUGGGUAUCAAACAGGAUUAGAUACCCUAGUAGUC